GGGUGCCAGGUCCCCGAAGGGAGCAGGCAGGGUUGAGCGUUGGUCGGGCCGCCAGCG
rnacentral:ncRNA from 12 species